rnacentral:tRNA from 1 species
GUGAGCUUAGCUCAGUUGGUAGGGAUAUUGCAUAUUAUAUGCAGGGGUUGGGGUUCGAAUCCCAGACACCUCACU